GUAGAGACAGGUUGAAAUCCCGCCCACCCUAAUACAUAUUGGAUCUAACCAAAGUCCACACUCCUGUAUCUAAUGGCAGACAAUGACCCGAAGGACCCUCCGCCACCAUACUACUCUGUGGCAGCGGACCCACAGACGCCUCCUAUGACCUAUGAUGAGGUAAUUUGUCAGGACAAAUAUGGGUUCACACAGAAACCUGUGCCAUACUAUGUUCCAAAGGAGCCAGCACCAGUAAAGGUAGACGCCGUCAUCAUCACUACACAGCAUGUUGUUGUUCCUACAAAAAGGCAGAAGUCUUGUGGACGGAGUGCCAAAUGUUGGGGUGGAUGGGUAGGUGCGCUGCUGGUGUUGGCUCUCAUUGGACUGGCCAUCUGGCUUGGAGUGUGCUAUGGAUCCAAGUCGAAUUCUGGACAUUAUGAGAAUGACUGCAGGGGACAAGAUUGCAAAGAACAGGAACAUGACAGUGAUUGCAGAGGAAAAGACUGCAAGGAACAGGAAAAUGACAGCGACUGCAGAGGAAAAGACUGCAAGGAACAGGAACAGGAACAUGACAGCGAAGAAGAACACCACAGGACGCAAGAUGGCACGAGUGUACCUGACACCUGCUCCAACUCUUCCAAGCAGUGUGAUGGCAUCCAAAACUGCCAACAG
rnacentral:lncRNA from 1 species